rnacentral:misc_RNA from 1 species
AAAAGAAAGGAGAGUCAGACAAUAGGCAGGAAGAGAGGAAAAAAGAAGAAGAAAUAUGUAGAGACCAAGACAGGAGAUGGAGAUAGAGAUACAGGUAGGGAGGUAGAGGUAGAGAUAGAGACAGAGACGGUGAUUAAAGAAGUGGAAUUGAUAAGAUGAAACCAACUAUCUAGUAUACUUUUUCAAUCAUGAGAAUUUAAAAUUGGAUUGAAUGGGAAGAUCAAUAUGAUGAAUUGUGGAUUUAUCUAUCAUUUUGUUCAAUUUCAAUUUUCAUGCCCAUUUUGAAUUAUUUAACGGAUGAUAUGAUUCUGAUAACUAUGACCAUAUCCAAUACAUCUACUGUAUUCAAGAUAAUUCCCCAUCACAAAUUUUUCUUGGCAAAAUUACAGGUACUUUAUGCAAUAUGAGGUGCUAAAUCCAACUCAAUAUGCGUGGGAUUUGUCUACAUCUAUUUUGUGUCAAUGAUAGCAAUCCAAGUUCCUUCUCAGUCAAUGCUCGACAAAAAAGGUGACCGGGUAAGGGGGAGGGGGUGUGGUGCGGGGGUGCAGGGUGCAAGAGAGGGGCAGUUGAUCCAUUACUUCACUUGAAUUGAUCACACAAAAAUAUCAAAGAUCACUUCCCACUGAAAACUUGUUUGUAACUUGAUAACAAUAAUAUUAGCAUUAUUUAUUGUGAAAUUAUUCACAGAAGCAGCUUGGAACAUUAAGGAACAACAAAAAAUCACUUACAAAUCAGAAGCAAGGGCAUCACCUCCAGGGCUGUCAAUCCGAAUAAUAACAGCUUUAUAUCUUUUCGUCUCUCUUACUUGUUGAAUCUUCUCAAUGAAUUGCUCCCCAAUGAUACCAGAGCUUGGUAAACUUAAUGGACUCCGUACACGACUAAUGCUCCCAGAGGCCCUGAUCACAGCAAUUUGGUCCUUACCACCAGUUAAACCAAGUGUCCAAUUCCUCACUCGCGAGUAUUUCCCGUAGUCAACCAUAGGAAGAAUUUUAUCCUUUUCGACUCCGAGUUUCUCUUUCAACAUUGAGAUA